GUACCGCAAACCGACACAGGUAGUCGGGUCGAGAAGACCAAGGUGAGCGAGAGAACUCUCGUUAAGGAACUCGGCAAAAUGACCCCGUAACUUCGGGAGAAGGGGUGCUGAUCGCAAGAUCAGCCGCAGUGAAUAGGCCCAGGCGACUGUUUAUCAAAAACACAGGUUUCUGCAAAAUCGUAAGAUGAAGUAUAGGGGCUGACGCCUGCCCGGUGCUGGAAGGUUAAGAGGAUGGGUUAGCGUAAGCGAAGCUCAGAAUUGAAGCCCCAGUAAACGGCGGCCGUAACAAUAACGGUCCUAAGGUAGCGAAAUUCCUUGUCGGGUAAGUUCCGACCCGCACGAAAGGCGUAACGAUCUGGGCACUGUCUCAACGAGAGACUCGGUGAAAUUAUAAUACCCGUGAAGAUGCGGGUUACCCGCGACAGGACGGAAAGACCCCAUGGAGCUUUACUGUAGCUUGAUAUUGGGUGUUUGUACAACUUGUACAGGAUAGGUAGGAGCCGUAGAAGUCGGGACGCUAGUUUCGACGGAGGCAUCGGUGGGAUAUUACCCUCGUUGUAUGAACACUCUAACCCACGCCGGCAAUCACGGCGGGAGACAGUGUCAGGUGGGCAGUUUGACUGGGGCGGUCGCCUCCUAAAAGGUAACGGAGGCGCCCAAAGGUUCCCUCAGAAUGGUUGGAAAUCAUUCGCAGAGUGUAAAGGCAUAAGGGAGCUUGACUGCGAGACCUACAAGUCGAGCAGCACGAAAGUCGGGCUUAGUGAUCCGGUGGUUCCGCAUGGAAGGGCCAUCGCUCAACGGAUAAAAGCUACCCUGGGGAUAACAGGCUUAUCUCCCCCAAGAGUCCACAUCGACGGGGAGGUUUGGCACCUCGAUGUCGGCUCAUCGCAUCCUGGGGCUGUAGUCGGUCCCAAGGGUUGGGCUGUUCGCCCAUUAAAGCGGUACGCGAGCUGGGUUCAGAACGUCGUGAGACAGUUCGGUCCCUAUCCGUCGCGGGCGCAGGAAAUUUGAGAGGAUCUGUCCUUAGUACGAGAGGACCGGGAUGGACAUACCGCUGGUGUACCAGUUGUUCUGCCAAGGGCAUCGCUGGGUAGCUAUGUAUGGAUGAGAUAAACGCUGAAAGCAUCUAAGUGCGAAACUCACCUCGAGAUAAGAUUUCCCACUCCUUUAUGGAGUUAAGACCCCUGAGAGAUGAUCAGGUAGAUAGGAUGGAAGUGGAAGUGCGGCGACGCAUGGAGCGGACCAUUACUAAUCGGUCGAGGACUUAAC
rnacentral:rRNA from 1 species